rnacentral:rRNA from 1 species
UACGUAGGGUGCGAGCGUUGUCCGGAAUUAUUGGGCGUAAAGAGCUCGUAGGCGGCUUGUCGCGUCGAAUGUGAAAACCCACGGCUCAACCCCGAGCCCUGCAGUCGAUACGGGCAGACUAGAGUCCGGCAGGGGAGACUGGAAGUUCCUGGUGUAGCGGUGAAAUGCGCAGAUAUCAGGAGGAACACCGGUGGCGAAGGCGGGUCUCUGGGCCGGAACUGACGCUGAGGAGCGAAAGCGUGGGGAGCGAACAGG